GACGAACGCUGGCGGCGUGCUUAACACAUGCAAGUCGAACGGGCCUUGUCCCCUUUUUUUUUGGGGGUGGGGUUAGUGGCGAACGGGUGAGUAACACGUGAGUAACCUGCCCCUCACUUCUGGAUAACCGCUUGAAAGGGUGGCUAAUACGGGGUGUUCUGGCCUGCUCGCAUGGGUGGGUUUGGAAAGAUUCGACCGGUUUUGGUUGUUUUGGUGGGGGAUGGGCUCGCGGCCCAUCAGCUUGUUGGUGGGGUGAUGGCCUGCCAAGGCUUUGACGGGUAGCCGGCCUGGGAGGGUGGGCGGUCACACUGGGACUGAGACACGGCCCAGACUCCUACGGGAGGCAGCAGUGGGGAAUAUUGCACAAUGGGCGCAAGCCUGAUGCAGCGACGCCGCGUGAGGGAUGGAGGCCUUCGGGUUGUGAACCUCUUUCGCCAGUGAAGAAGGUCCUGCUCUUUGUGGUGGGGUUGACGGUAGCUGGGUUAAUGAAGCGCCGGCUAACUACGUG
rnacentral:rRNA from 1 species